rnacentral:rRNA from 1 species
ACGCUGGCGGCAGGCCUAACACAUGCAAGUCGAGCGGAAACGAAGAGGUGCUUGCACCUCUGGCGUCGAGCGGCGGACGGGUGAGUAAUGCUUGGGAAUAUGCCUUAUGGUGGGGGACAACAGUUGGAAACGACUGCUAAUACCGCAUAAUGUCUACGGACCAAAGUGGGGGACCUUCGGGCCUCACGCCAUAAGAUUAGCCCAAGUGGGAUUAGCUAGUUGGUGAGGUAAUGGCUCACCAAGGCGACGAUCCCUAGCUGGUUUGAGAGGAUGAUCAGCCACACUGGGACUGAGACACGGCCCAGACUCCUACGGGAGGCAGCAGUGGGGAAUAUUGCACAAUGGGCGCAAGCCUGAUGCAGCCAUGCCGCGUGUGUGAAGAAGGCCUUCGGGUUGUAAAGCACUUUCAGUAAGGAGGAAAGGUUAAGUGUUAAUAGCACUUAGCUGUGACGUUACUUACAGAAGAAGCACCGGCUAACUCCGUGCCAGCAGCCGCGGUAAUACGGAGGGUGCGAGCGUUAAUCGGAAUUACUGGGCGUAAAGCGUACGCAGGCGGUUUGUUAAGCGAGAUGUGAAAGCCCCGGGCUCA